AGCGUGACAGGUAAGCGAAAUCUAAGGAAAGUAGCGAAGCACAUGAUGACGGCUUCCAGGAAAAGCUUCUGGCAAUGCAUAUGCGGCCCGUACCAAAACCGACACAGGUGGGCAGGGAGAGAAUCCCGAGGUGAGCGAGAGAACUGUUGCCAAGGAACUCGGCAAAAUGACUCCGUAAGUUAGCGAGAAGGAGUGCUUAAGCAAUUAAGCCGCAGUGAAGAGGCCCAAGCGACUGUUUAACUAAAACACAGCUCUCUGCGAAGUCGCAAGACGAAGUAUAGGGGGUGACACCUGCCCGGUGCUGGAAGGUUAAGAGGGUCUGUUAAGAGCGAUCUGAAGCAGUGAUCCGAAGCCCCAGUGAACGGCGGCCGUAACUAUAACGGUCCUAAGGUAGCGAAAUUCCUUGUCAGGUAAGAUCUGACCCGCACGAAAGGUGUAACGAUUUGGGCGCUGUCUCGGCAGCAGACUCGGUGAAAUCUUAGUACCUGUGAAAAUGCAGGUUACCCGCAACUAGACGGAAAGACCCCAUGGAGCUUUACUGCAGCCUGAUAUUGAAUUCUGGUCAUACAUGUACAGGAUAGGUGGGAGACAAAGAGACGUGCACGCCAGUGUACGAGGAGUCGACGUUGGGAUACCACUCUUGUGUGACCGGGGUUCUAACCUGGUAUCGAGAACAGGUACGGGGAGAGUGUCAGGUGGGCAGUUUGACUGGGGCGGUCGCCUCCCAAAGAGUAACGGAGGCGCCCAAAGGUACGCUCAGAUUGGAUGGAAACCAAUCGACGAGUGCAAUUGCAGAAGCGUGCUUGACUGUGAGACAAACAAGUCGAACAGGGACGAAAGUCGGGAAUAGUGAUCCGGCGGUGCCGAAUGGAAGGGCCGUCGCUCAACGGAUAAAAGCUACCCUGGGGAUAACAGGCUGAUCUCGCCUAAGAGUUCACAUCGACGGCGAGGUUUGGCACCUCGAUGUCGGCUCAUCGCAUCCUGGAGCUGGAUUCGGUUCCAAGGGUUGGGCUGUCCGCCCAUUAAAGCGGUACGCGAGCUGGGUUCAGAACGUCGUGAGACAGUUCGGUCCCUAUCUGUUGUGGGCGAAGGAGAUCUGCGGAGAGCUGUCCUCAGUACGAGAGGACCGGGAUGGACCUACCGCUGGUGCACCGGUUGUUCCGCCAGGGGCAUAGCCGGGUAGCUAAGUAGGGAAAGGAUAAGCGCUGAAAGCAUCUAAGCACGAAGCCUACUCCAAGAUGAGAUCUCCCAUUCGCAAGAAGUAAGACCCCUUAAAGACGAUAAGGUAGAUAGGCCAGGGAUGGAAGUGCAGUGAUGUACGGAGUUGACUGGUACUAAUCGGUCGAGGACUUAAUCG
rnacentral:rRNA from 1 species